rnacentral:rRNA from 1 species
UGACCUCGGGAUCAGGUAGGGGAUACCCGCUGGAACUUAAGCCAUAUCAAAAACCCG